rnacentral:rRNA from 1 species
GACGAACGCUGGCGGCGUGCUUAACACAUGCAAGUCGAACGAUGAACUCCAGCUUGCUGGGGGGAUUAGUGGCGAACGGGUGAGUAACACGUGAGUAACCUGCCCUUCACUUCGGGAUAACUUCGGGAAACCGGGGCUAAUACUGGAUAUGAGAUGCGUCCGCAUGGACAGUGUCUGGAAAGUAUUUAUUGGGUGGGGGAUGGACUCGCGGCCUAUCAGAUUGUUGGUGGGGUAAUGGCCUACCAAGGCGACGGCGGGUAGCCGGCCUGAGAGGGCGACCGGCCACACUGGGACUGAGACACGGCCCAG